rnacentral:rRNA from 1 species
GAUGAACGCUGGCGGCGUGCCUAAUACAUGCAAGUCGAGCGAACAGACGAGGAGCUUGCUCCUCUGACGUUAGCGGCGGACGGGUGAGUAACACGUGGAUAACCUACCUAUAAGACUGGGAUAACUUCGGGAAACCGGAGCUAAUACCGGAUAAUAUAUUGAACCGCAUGGUUCAAUAGUGAAAGACGGUUUUGCUGUCACUUAUAGAUGGAUCCGCGCCGCAUUAGCUAGUUGGUAAGGUAACGGCUUACCAAGGCAACGAUGCGUAGCCGACCUGAGAGGGUGAUCAGCCACACUGGAACUGAGACAAGGUCCAGACUCCUACGGGAGGCAGCAGUAGGGAAUCGUCGGCAAUGGGCGAAAGCCUGACGGAGCAACGCCGCGUGAGUGAUGAAGGUCUUCGGAUCGUAAAACUCUGUUAUUAGGGAAGAACAAAUGUGUAAGUAACUAUGCACGUCUUGACGGUACCUAAUCAGAAAGCCACGGCUAACUACGUG